UUGCUUUCAAAGUACAUACACUAAAAUUGGAAUAACUCAGAGAAGAAUAGCUGGGCCCUUGCAAAGAAUGACCCACUAAUUCAUACAGCACUCUGUAUGUAU